rnacentral:lncRNA from 1 species
CAGAAGAUGAUCCAGAAGGUGUUCCAGGAACAGGUCCUGGACGAGGUAUUGCAGAAGGUCUCCCUUGAGAUGAUCCAGAAGAUGACCCAGAAGGUGUUCCAGGAACAGGUCCUGGGCGAGGUACUGGAGCAGGUCUUCCACCAUGUCGCUGUCCAGGACCAGGUGGUCUUCUUAUACGGUUAAGAAUACCUGUAAAACAGCUGGCACCACCAGUACAGCCAGCAGGAGAUCGAAUAGGGCCUCGAGUGGGGGCUGCAUUGGCACUUGACUGGCCGUCGUUCUGCUUCGCUGAAAGAAGAAAAGCAAAUGCGACGAAAAAGACGCCAAUGCCGAUGCUCGGAACCUUCGCCAUGGUGAUUACACCAAAAUGGCUUCUUGUUCUGGGCUACAGCGAAGUACGUUUAUAUACACUUCCCAACAGAACGAACGUAAAGAAAAAGACACCCCUUAAAUUUUUAAUUCAUACAAUGCCCUUACGCGCGUCCCCUGAUUCUUGACGAACGAUAAUGUAUGAUUGAUUGCUUGCAUUUGCCGAGUUGAAUGCGUCGCGAACUGUUACGUUACUUCAGUGUGAGCUGUGGUGAAGAGAGCCAAGGUAAUUAAUGAGGGUAUUCGUGAUCGCCGACUUCAAGAAAGAAAUAGUCAAAUGAGUCAUAGGAAAUAUUCGACGUCUGCGUUUCCCAAAAGGACAAUAAUUUGGAACACAUUUGUGAAAAAUAAAUCGGCAGUGCAAAGGGGUGGUGAAAAUUGCUGUCCUGCGCGUCGUUUUCUACGCGGACGUGAUCCGCGAUGACGCAGUCACACACGGCUUCUCCGUGAAAAGGAGAACAAAGUUAUCGCCGAAUGAAGCAUCGAGCUGUAACUUUCAGCGACACUUUGUUGUAGCGUAACCGAGAAGUGUCACACCGUCCUGCGCAUGCCACUCGGAAAUAUUUGUUGUAGGAUUCCUAAUAAAAUAAAUUGUUGUACUGUA